CUCAGGAUCCACCCGCCUGGGCCUCCCAAAGUGCUGGGAUUACAGGCGUGAGUCACCGUGCCUGGCCAAAAUCAUGUAAUUUUGAGGAUAAUUACAGAUUCAGCUUCUUCCAUGUUGUGUGCGUAGUGGAUGUGCAGCCAGCAUUGGCUCGUGUGUGAAGAAGCAUACGCUCCUGGAAAGUCUGCAGCGUGUCCAUGCACAUCAUCUCACUGGGCCCCUGCAGUCCACUGAAAGAAGAGGCAGACACCUGCCCCAACUGUACUGAGCCUUGCUGGCUGAGCAGAUCCCUCAUGUCCUUGGUUAAACUCUCACCCUGCAUGACUGUUUUCCUCAGAAGAAGUCACUAGUGGGGACCCCUCUUCCUGGGGUUGCUAUGCAGGGAAUGGGCUGGAUAUGUACAGACCUGGCCACCAUGCCUUUGGGGGCUGGUGUCACGGCCAGGCCAUGACUCUAAAGAAUGAGGUGGGCCGGGCUGGGCACAGUGGCUCAUGCCUGUAAUUCCAGCACUUUGGGAAGCUGAGGCAGGUGGAUCACCAGGUCAGGAGAUCGAGACCAUCCUGGCUAACAAGGUGAAACCCUAUCUGUACUAAAAAUACAAAAAAAUUAGCCAGGCGUGGUGGCGGGCGCCUGUAGCCCCAGCUACUCGGGAGACUGAGGCAGGAGAAUGGCGUGAACCCGGGAGGCGGAGCUUGUGGUGAGCCAAGAUCGCACCACUGCACUCCAGCCUGGGAUACAGAGCGAGACUCUGUCUCCAAAAAAAAAGAAAAAAAAAAAAAGAAUGAGGUGGGCCGGAUGCGGUGGCUCAUGCCUGUAAUCCCAGCACUUUGGGAGGCCAAGGCGGGUGGAUCGCUUGAGGCCAGGAAUCGGAGACCAGCCCGGCCAACAUGCUGAAACCCUGUCUCUACUAAAAAUACAAAAAAUUAGCUGGGUGUGGUGGCCCCAGCUACUGGGGAGGCUGAGGCAGAACUGCUUGACUCCGAAGGGCAGAGGUUGCAAUGAGCCGAGAUCGUGCCACUGCACUCCAGCCUGGGCAACAAGAGCAAUACUUUGUCAAAAAAAAAAAAAAGAAAAAAAAAAGAAUGAGGUGGAAGGAGGGCUUCCUUAGGAAAAAUGGCCUGCUGAGAGGGUGAGGGGUGCAGAAGGCUGCUGUGCUGGAGCCUGUCCUGUUUGGGUUCCCCCAGAAGCUGGCCCUGAUGAUGUGGGUGCUUACUAGUUUGGGAUGUGAUGUCAGGAAGCGCUGGCAGUGAGUGGGGCUGAGGCAGCGGAUGGGGACACUAUCAGGCCAUUUGCUCCUGUCGGGGGCUGGCCCUCCGUCUCCCUGUGAGGCUCCAAGAAGCUAUCUAGAGCAUUCCUGAGUUAUCCACACCUGGAGAAAGGAAGGUGGGCCAUAUAUUUAACAUUCAUCAUGGGCCAAGGGCUGUAGGCGUCACGCACUCCUGGCCUAUCCUGGGAAUGAACUGAGGAUGCUCCAAUGCCCAGAAAAAGGUCUUAGCAGAGAUAACUAACAACGUGAAAGGUCACCGGGUGAUUUGCUCAUCUUCUGAACGAUACAUACCCGUCAUCGGUUAUUUGUUGAUCUUUUGUAAAUAGUCAAUCUUUUCUUUCUGUUGCUUCCAACUUCCCUGGUAACAUGUCUAUUGCAGAUUUCUUUUUAUGUAUCCCUUUUUAGGGCCAACUGCUUCCUGGAUGUGAGGCUUACCACCUUCAAAUAAUUGUAGAGUAUUCUCAGGCUUUAUCUCUUCAAAUUUUGCUUUUUCUUCAUUUCCCUAUUAUUCCUUCUUGGAAUCUAGUUAUAUUAAAUCUUCUCAAUCUCCUUUC